CUGGCAUCCGAAAAGGAGAGGCCUUGUUGCUGCUGCUGCUGCUGCUGCUGGAGGGGAGAAGGUUCUGAAACGACAACCGCAACAUCGAACGGAUGCUUUGACGUUCCUCACUUGUGCUAAACCAUAAAUUAUGAGUAAUCAGCCACAAUUGCUGGAUUUACAUGGCCCAUUAAACCAAACCCAGCAGACUGUUUUAUGAUUCAGCCGAUAAGUGAACCAGAUUCAAGAGAUAUGAUGCCUCACUUUGGCAAGCUAUUCAGACCGGUCCUCAAAAAGAAUAUACAUCAUGGUGACCACCAUCCCAAAAGAUGGUUUAUUCAGCUCAACAUGCAAUUGCAGCUGGUAUCUAGACUGCUGGACUUGGCCUACGGAGGAGGAAUUCACUUGCUGACCCCAAAGAGAAGGACUCCAUCCUGUGGGGCCGGAUCAAGAGGCCAUUGGCUGGCAGGGCCUUUCCAGUGGUGGCCUAUGGGAGGCUCCCAAGAGGGAUCCCAAGGUCUG